rnacentral:rRNA from 1 species
UGGGGAAUUUUGGACAAUGGGCGAAAGCCUGAUCCAGCAAUGCCGCGUGUGUGAAGAAGGCCUUCGGGUUGUAAAGCACUUUUGUCCGGAAAGAAAUCCUUGGCUCUAAUACAGUCGGGGGAUGACGGUACCGGAAGAAUAAGCACCGGCUAACUACGUGCCAGCAGCCGCGGUAAUACGUAGGGUGCAAGCGUUAAUCGGAAUUACUGGGCGUAAAGCGUGCGCAGGCGGUUUGCUAAGACCGAUGUGAAAUCCCCGGGCUCAACCUGGGAACUGCAUUGGUGACUGGCAGGCUAGAGUAUGGCAGAGGGGGGUAGAAUUCCACGUGUAGCAGUGAAAUGCGUAGAGAUGUGGAGGAAUACCGAUGGCGAAGGCAGCCCCUGGGCAAUACUGACGCUCAUGCACGAAAGCGUGGGGAGCAAACAGGAUUAGAUACCCUGGUAGUCCACGCCCUAAACGAUGUCAACUAGUUGUUGGGGAUUCAUUUCCUUAGUAACGUAGCUAACGCGUGAAGUUGACCGCCUGGGGAGUACGGUCGCAAGAUUAAAACUUAAAGGAAUUGACGGGGUCAUAGCUGUUUCCU